rnacentral:rRNA from 1 species
GGGUUUGAUUAUGGCUCAGAUUGAACGCUGGCGGCAUGCCUUACACAUGCAAGUCGAACGGCAGCACGGGAGCAAUCCUGGUGGCGAGUGGCGAACGGGUGAGUAAUAUAUCGGAACGUGCCCAGUCGUGGGGGAUAACGCAGCGAAAGCUGUGCUAAUACCGCAUACGAUCUACGGAUGAAAGCGGGGGAUCGCAAGACCUCGCGCGAUUGGAGCGGCCGAUAUCAGAUUAGCUAGUUGGUGGGGUAAAAGCUCACCAAGGCGACGAUCUGUAGCUGGUCUGAGAGGACGACCAGCCACACUGGAACUGAGACACGGUCCAGACUCCUACGGGAGGCAGCAGUGGGGAAUUUUGGACAAUGGGCGCAAGCCUGAUCCAGCAAUGCCGCGUGCAGGAUGAAGGCCUUCGGGUUGUAAACUGCUUUUGUACGGAGCGAAACGGUCUACCCUAAUACGGUGGGCUAAUGACGGUACCGUAAGAAUAAGCACCGGCUAACUACGUGCCAGCAGCCGCGGUAAUACGUAGGGUGCGAGCGUUAAUCGGAAUUACUGGGCGUAAAGCGUGCGCAGGCGGUUAUAUAAGACAGAUGUGAAAU